rnacentral:rRNA from 1 species
AACGAACGCUGGUGGUAUGCUUAACACAUGCAAGUCGAACGAACAAUCUGGAGCUUGCUUCAGAUUAGUGAGUGGCAAACGGGUGAGUAACACGUGGGAAUCUACCUGUCAGUACGGAAUAACUUCUGGAAACAGAAGCUAAUACCGUAUAUUCUCUCCGGAGGAAAGAUUUAUCGCUGACAGAUGAGCCCGCGCAAGAUUAGGUAGUUGGUAGGGUAAUGGCCUACCAAGCCCGCGAUCUUUAGCUGGUCUGAGAGGAUGAUCAGCCACACUGGGACUGAGACACGGCCCAG